GUGGGUGUAGCUCAGUGGCAGAGUGUGUGCCUCGCAUGACAUGGCCCUGGGUUCAAUCCCCAGUAUUUCCA
rnacentral:tRNA from 1 species